ACUCCGACCGGAGACGGAGGAGUGCUUUUAUUAGAUCAAAACCAAUCGGUGGCGGGCUUGCUCGUCAUCGUACAACUUGGUGACUCUGAAUAACUUUAUGCUGAUCGCACGGUCUCGCACCGGCGACGCAUCUUUCAAAUGUCUGCCUUAUCAACUGUCGAUGGUAGGUUCUGCGCCUACCAUGGUUGUAACGGGUAACGGGGAAUCAGGGUUCGAUUCCGGAGAGGGAGCCUGAGAAACGGCUACCACAUCCAAGGAAGGCAGCAGGCGCGCAAAUUACCCACUCCCGGCACGGGGAGGUAGUGACGAAAAAUAACGAUACGGGACUCAUCCGAGGCCCCGUAAUCGGAAUGAGUACACUCUAAACCCUUUAACGAGGAUCAAUUGGAGGGCAAGUCUGGUGCCAGCAGCCGCGGUAAUUCCAGCUCCAAUAGCGUAUAUUAAAGUUGUUGCGGUUAAAAAGCUCGUAGUCGAAUCUGUGUCCCGCGCCGCCGGUUCAUCGUCCGCGGUGUCAACUGGCGUGUCGCGGGACGUCCUGCCGGUGGGCUUAGCUCGCAAGGGCGGCCCAACUCAAUCCUGCCGCGGUGCUCUUCACUGAGUGUCGAGGUGGGCCGGCACGUUUACUUUGAACAAAUUAGAGUGCUUAAAGCAGGCUAAAACUUCGCCUGAAUACUGUGUGCAUGGAAUAAUGGAAUAGGACCUCGGUUCUAUUUUGUUGGUUUUCGGAACCCCGAGGUAAUGAUUAAUAGGAACGGAUGGGGGCAUUCGUAUUGCGACGUUAGAGGUGAAAUUCUUGGAUCGUCGCAAGACGGACAGAAGCGAAAGCAUUUGCCAAAAACGCUUUCAUUGAUCAAGAACGAAAGUUAGAGGUUCGAAGGCGAUCAGAUACCGCCCUAGUUCUAACCAUAAACGAUGCCAGCUAGCGAUCCGUCGACGUUCCUCCGAUGACUCGACGGGCAGCUUCCGGGAAACCAAAGCUUUUGGGUUCCGGGGGAAGUAUGGUUGCAAAGCUGAAACUUAAAGGAAUUGACGGAAGGGCACCACCAGGAGUGGAGCCUGCGGCUUAAUUUGACUCAACACGGGAAACCUCACCAGGCCCGGACACCGGAAGGAUUGACAGAUUGAGAGCUCUUUCUUGAUUCGGUGGGUGGUGGUGCAUGGCCGUUCUUAGUUGGUGGAGCGAUUUGUCUGGUUAAUUCCGAUAACGAACGAGACUCUAGCCUGCUAACUAGGCGUAUUUUGACAUCGCAAAGGCCCGCCGGUAUUGGGGUUCGCCUCUUUAUCGCGCGCGGUUUUUACUGUCGGCGUACAAACAAUUCUUCUUAGAGGGACAGGCGGCUUCUAGCCGCACGAGAUUGAGCAAUAACAGGUCUGUGAUGCCCUUAGAUGUUCUGGGCCGCACGCGCGCUACACUGAAGGAAUCAGCGUGUCCUCCCUGGCCGAGAGGCCCGGUA
rnacentral:rRNA from 1 species